UAGAGAUUAGUUUGAUCCUGGCUCAGAAUGAACGCUGGCGGCGUGGAUUAGGCAUGCAAGUCGAACGCAAUGAACGGUUUUCGGAUUGUUCGGAGAGUGGCAACCUGGUUAGUACAAGUUGGGCAACUUGCCCGGAAGUGGGGGACAACGUCUCGAAAGGGGCGCUAAUACCGCAUGUGGUCAAUGGGACUUCGGUUCUGCUGACUAAAGGCUUCGGCCGCUUCCGGAUGGGCCCGACUCCCAUUAGCUUGUUGGUGAGGUAACGGCUCACCAAGGCUACGAUGGGUAGCUGGUCUGAGAGGAUGGUCAGCAACACGAGGACUGAGAUACGGCCUCGACUCCUACGGGGGGCAGCAGUCUAGAGGCUUCGGCAAUGGGGGAAACCCUGACCGAGCGACGCCGCGUGGAGGAUGACGGCCUUCGGGUUGUAAACUCCUUUCGGCGGUGAAAAACCCCGGAGAGGUGAUCUUCGGGUUGAUCUACCCGCGGAAGAAGCCCCGGCUAACUUCGUGCCAGCAGCCGCGGUAAUACGAAGGGGGCGAGCGUUAUUCGGAUUCAUUGGGCGUAAAGGGCGCGCAGGCGGCUUGGCAAGUCAGGUGUGAAAACGCUACCGCUCAACGGAGCGACGGCACUUGAUACUGCUGAACUUGAGUAUAGGAGAGGUAGGCGGAAUACCCGGUGUAGCGGUGGAAUGCUCAGAGAUCGGGUGGAACACCAGUGGCGAAGGCGGCCUACUGGCCUAUUACUGACG
rnacentral:rRNA from 1 species